rnacentral:rRNA from 1 species
GACAGAGGGUGCAAACGUUGUUCGGAUUUACUGGGCGUAAAGCGCGUGUAGGCGGCUUGGCAAGUCGGAUGUGAAAGCCCACGGCUCAACCGUGGAAGCGCAUCCGAAACUGCUUCGCUCGAGUCUCGGAGAGGAAGGUGGAAUGCUUGGUGUAGAGGUGAAAUUCGUAGAUAUUCGCAAGAACACCAGUGGCGAAGGCGGCUCACUGGCCCGGUACUGACGCUGAGGUGCGAAAGCGUGGGGAGCAAACAGG